AUUGAACGCUGGCGGCAGGCCUAACACAUGCAAGUCGAGCGGAUGAAGGGAGCUUGCUCCUGGAUUCAGCGGCGGACGGGUGAGUAAUGCCUAGGAAUCUGCCUGGUAGUGGGGGAUAACGUCCGGAAACGGGCGCUAAUACCGCAUACGUCCUGAGGGAGAAAGUGGGGGAUCUUCGGACCUCACUCUAUAAGAUGAGCCUAGGUCGGAUUAGCUAGUUGGUGGGGUAAAGGCCUACCAAGGCGACGAUCCGUAACUGGUCUGAGAGGAUGAUCAGUCACACUGGAACUGAGACACGGUCCAGACUCCUACGGGAGGCAGCAGUGGGGAAUAUUGGACAAUGGGCGAAAGCCUGAUCCAGCCAUGCCGCGUGUGUGAAGAAGGUCUUCGGAUUGUAAAGCACUUUAAGUUGGGAGGAAGGGCAGUAAGUUAAUACCUUGCUGUUUUGACGUUACCAACAGAAUAAGCACCGGCUAACUUCGUG
rnacentral:rRNA from 1 species